GAUGAACGCUGGCGGCGUGCCUAAUACAUGCAAGUCGAGCGAACGGACGAUAAGCUUGCUUCUCUGAUGUUAGCGGCGGACGGGUGAGUACCUCGUGGAUAACCUACCUAUAAUUCUGGGAUAACUUCGGGAAACCGGAGCUAAUACCGGCUAAUAUUUUGAACCGCAUGGUUCAUUAGUGAAAGACGGUCUUGCUGUCACUUAUAGAUGGUUCCGCGCUGCAUUAGCUAGGUUGUAAGGUAACGGCUUAACAAGGCAACGAUGCAUAGCCGACCUGAGGGGGGGAUCGGCCACACUGGAACUGAGACACGGUCCAGACUCCUACGGGAGGCAGCAGAAGGGAAUGUUCCGCAAUGGGCGAAAGCCUGACGGAGCAAAGCCGCGUGAGGGAUGAAGGUCUUCGGAUCUUAAAAGUCUGUUAUUAGGGAAGAAGAAAUGUGGAAGGAACUGGGAACAGCUUGACGGUACCGAAACAGAAAGCAACGGCUAACUACGUG
rnacentral:rRNA from 1 species